CGGUUUCUUAAAGUCUGCUCUGAAAGCCCACGGCUCAACCGUGGAAGGGCAUUGGAUACUGUGUCACUUGAGUGCGGAAGAGAAAAGCGGAAUUCCACGUGGAGCGGUGAAAUGCGUAAAGAUGUGGAGGAACACCAGUGGCGAAGGCGGCUUUUUGGUCUGUAACUGACGCUGAGGCGCGAAAGCGUGGGGAGCAAACAGGAUUAGAUACCCUGGUAGUCCACGCCGUAAACGAUGAGUGCUGAGUGUUUGGAGGGUUUCCGCCCUUUAGUGCUGCAGCUAACGCAUUAAGCACUCCGCCUGGGGGAGUACGGUCGCCAGACUGAAAACUCAAAGGAAUUUGACGGGGGGCCCGCACAAGCGGUGGAGAUGUGGUUUUAAUUCCGAAGCAAACGCGAAGAACCUUUACCAGGUCUUUGACAUUCCUCUGACAUCUCUAGAAAUAAAUCGGUUCCCUUCGGGAAACAAAAUGAAAGGGCGGGGAAUGGUUUUCCUCCCUCGUGUCGAGAGAUUUUGUAAACUCCCCAAAAGCGAACCUUUGUUUUUUCCAAUUUUUUGGGACCCAAGGACCCCCGGGAAAACCCGAAGAGGGGGUGACUCCAACCUCCUUCC
rnacentral:rRNA from 1 species